UUAUUUUCUUUCCAAGUACAUGAAAAAUCCAUUCUCUUGGUGUCACUACCAGUCUGCUUAGUUUUAAGUGAAAUUCCUUUUAUGUCUACUUGGUUUUUACUUGUGUCAACAUUUAGUAUGCUACCUCUUCUAUUGAAGGAUGAACUCCUAAUGCCCUCUGUUGUGACAACAAUGGCAUUUUUUAUAGCUUGUGUAACUUCCUUUUCAAUAUUUGAAAAGACUUCUGAAGAAGAACUGCAGUUGAAAUCCUUUUCCAUUUCUGUGAGGAAAUAUCUUCCAUGUUUUACAUUUCUUUCCAGAAUUAUACAAUAUUUGUUCUAGAGACUAAAAGUUCAAGAUCAAGAUCAAGGUUCUACCAUCAGGGUUGGUUUCUGGUGAGGCCUCUCUUCCUGGCUUGUAGAAGGUCUCUGCUUUAUGUGUCACACAUGGAGAGAGACCUCUGUUGUCUCUUCCUUUUCUUGUAAGGACACCAGUACUACUGGAUUAGGGCCCCAUUCUUAUCAUCUAAUUUAACCUUAUUUACCUCCUAAAAGGCUAUAUCUCCAAAUAACAGUCACAUUGGGGGUUAGGGCUUCAACAUAUGAAUUUUAAUUCAGUCCAUAACAUGGGAUAAUAAAAUUGUGGUCUUU
rnacentral:lncRNA from 10 species